GACGAACGCUGGCGGCGUGCCUAACACAUGCAAGUCAAGGAGAAUUCCCGACUUGUCGGGAUAGUAAACUGGCGAACGGGUGAGUAACACGUAGGUAAUCUACCCUCGGGAUCGGGAUAACCUCGCGAAAGUGGGGAUAAUACCGAAUAAAGUCUCGGUAUAAUUUGUCGAGAUGAAAGAUGGGGAUCUUCGGACCUAUUACCUGAGGAUGAGCCUGCGCCUGAUUAGCUAGUUGGUAGGGUAAAUGCCUACCAAGGCAACGAUCAGUAGCUGGUCUGAGAGGAUGAUCAGCCACAUUGGGACUGAGAUACGGCCCAGACUCCUACGGGAGGCAGCAGUGAGGAAUUUUGCGCAAUGGGCGAAAGCCUGACGCAGCAACGCCGCGUGACUGAUUAAGCUCUGAGGAGUGUAAAAGUCUGUCGUAGAGGAAGAAACUAUCCGAUAAGAAUAUUGUCGGAUACUGACGGUACUCUAUGAGAAAGCUCCGGCUAACUCCG
rnacentral:rRNA from 1 species